AAAAAGGUUCUAUCUACAAAGACGAACUCUAACUUGGCUCUAUAAGGUUAUAUCUGCGUGAGCCAAUCAGCACUUCGAAUGCACAGAAGAGGACCAAUCAGGAUCAGCUUUAUAUGUCGUGUCACCGGCUUUAGAUCGCAGUGUGAGGAUUAUGGCACGCAACAAAGUUUUUAAGAAACCUAAAGAUCUACAAUUUUAUUGACGAUCUUGUCAAGGACCGCAGCUCGAAUUCCAGGCAAGUGACAAGGUAGAAGCAGCAUGGCCUAGGGUCUUACCAGACAAACCAGUGGGGAACCAGUGACUGCACCUAACAGUUUACAAAUUAAAGAACUGGGGGCUACUCAGAAAAGAAGAAACAUGAGAAGUGUCUCAGAUAAAGUCUGUGUUUGAAAAAAAUGAGUCACAGAGAGUAUAAUAGUUAUGUGUUUUAAAAAAUGAGUCUGACAUUUAUUUGUGAUUUUAUAUAUAGUCAGUGAAUCAUUUUUCAAUGAUUAUUAAACUUUAUGAAUUAA